UACGUAGGGGGCAAGCGUUGUCCGGAUUUAUUGGGCGUAAAGAGCGUGUAGGCGGCUAGAUAGGUCCGUUGUGAAAACUCGAGGCUCAACCUCCAGACGUCGAUGGAAACCGUAUGGCUAGAGUCCGGAAGAGGAGAGUGGAAUUCCUGGUGUAGCGGUGAAAUGCGCAGAUAUCAGGAAGAACACCCGUGGCGAAGGCGGCUCUCUGGGACGGUACUGACGCUGAGACGCGAAAGCGUGGGGAGCGAACAGG
rnacentral:rRNA from 1 species